CAUAUCAAUAAGCGGAGGAAAAGAAACCAACAGGUAUUCCCUCAGUAACGGCGAGUGAAGUGGGAACAGCUCAAGCCGUCAAUCUCCGACCUCUUGUCGGCGAAUUGUAGUCUCGAGAAGUGCUAUCCGUGCCUGCGGUCUAAGAUGCUUGGAACGGCACAUCGCAGAGGGUGAGAAUCCCGUCCUCGUCCGCUGGCCGCGCACCACGAGGCGCUUUCGAAGAGUCGGGUUGUUUGGGAAUGCAGCCCAAAGCGGGUGGUAAACUCCACCUAAAGCUAAAUAUGGGCACGAGACCGAUAGCGAAAAAGUACCGUGAGGGAAAGAUGAAAAGCACUUUGAAAAGAGAGUUAAAGAGUACGUGAAACCGUUGGAGGGGAAGCGAAUGCGGCCAGCAACGCUCUGGUGCAGAUUCAGCCGGCCGCCGGGCGAGACGGGCGUCUCCGGAUUCGAAGGAACCGCGUCGUCUGUCGUCGACCCGGCGUCCGCGUCGUAUUUCUGCCGAGUGCGAGCCAGCGCCGGUGAGAGAUGGCGUCUCGACGGCAUCGUGAGGUGCGCGUGCUCGCCUAGGGCGCGCAGUUAUAGACGUUGUCGUAGGCGCCGUGUCCCACCGAGGAGACGGAAUUCCGGUGGCAGCGCGCGCCGGCCAUGUCGGCUAGGCGGGGCUCGGUCGCUUCGACGCCUACGUGCGGACUGCAAGCAGUGCGCGCGGCGGCGUUCGUCGCGUCCGUGUCCGCGGCCGUAGGUGCGCUGAGGGCGCUGGCGGUGAAAUGGUCUCAUCCGACCCGUCUUGAAACACGGACCAAGGAGUCUAACACGCGUGCGAGUCCGGGGGUCCGGAAACCCGUCGGCGCAAUGAAAGUGAACGUUGGGGUGAGAGCCGCGGUCUCGUUUGGGCCUCGGCGCAUCAUCGACCGAUCUCGUCUGCUCCCAGAGA
rnacentral:rRNA from 1 species